GUAGGUGGCAAGCGUUGUCCGGAAUUAUUGGGCGUAAAGCGCGCGCAGGCGGUUCUUUAAGUCUGAUGUGAUAGCCCACGGCUCAACCGUGGAGGGUCAUUGGAAACUGGAGAACUUGAGUACAGAAGAGGAAAGCGGAAUUCCACGUGUAGCGGUGAAAUGCGUAGAGAUGUGGAGGAACACCAGUGGCGAAGGCGGCUUUCUGGUCUGUAACUGACGCUGAGGCGCGAAAGCGUGGGGAGCAAACAGGAUUAGAUACCCUGGUAGUCCACGCCGUAAACGAUGAGUGCUAAGUGUUAGGGGGGUUUCCGCCCCCCUUAGUGCUGCAGCUAACGCAUUAAGCACUCCGCCCUGGGAGUACGGCCGCAAGGCUG
rnacentral:rRNA from 1 species